rnacentral:rRNA from 1 species
AUACGUAGGGGGCGAGCGUUGUCCGGAAUUAUUGGGCGUAAAGGGCGUGUAGGCGGCCUUGCAAGUCAGGGGUGAAAACCCGGGGCUCAACCGCGGGAUCGCCUUUGAAACUGCGGGGCUUGAGUGCUCUAGAGGGCAGUGGAAUUCCCGGUGUAGCAGUGAAAUGCGUAGAGAUCGGGAGGAACACCAGUGGCGAAGGCGGCUGCCUGGGGAGCAACUGACGCUGAGGCGCGAAAGCUAGGGGAGCAAACAGGAUUAGAUACCCUGGUAGUCCUAGCCGUAAACGAUGAGUGCUAUGUGUGAGGGGUAUCGACCCCCCUCGUGCAGCAGCAAACGCAUUAAGCACUCCGCCUGGGGAGUACGGCCGCAAGGUUGAA